rnacentral:ncRNA from 1 species
ACAAAGCAUUGCGAUGGCCGCUGGUCGGUGUUGACGCAAUGUGAUUUCUGCCCAGUGCUCUGAAUGUCAACGUGAAGAGAUUCAUCAAAGCGCGGGUAAACGGCGGGAGUAACUAUGACUCUCUUGUGGAGAACGAUGGAAUUGAUUAAAUCACCUAGUGUGAGAUGCGGAGAGGACGGUCUUUCUGAAGACCGCCGCAUGCGGCAGCAAAAGGAGGAAGGCAUGACGCCUGGCCGCUCGCUCAUGGCCAAUACCAGUGGUCAGAGCUUAGAAGGGCAUACCCCUACGUGGUUAUAAAUACCACUUUAGGGGACUCGCACCGGUGAGUGCGUGUAAAGAGCGUGUGGCGGAAACGCCCACAAUGUCGGUCUAGGGAAAGCAUGUUGGGAUAGCAUGCCGGGACCGGGGUGGAGGUGGGUUGAAAAAAAAAAUAGCCAAAUGCCUCGUCAUCUAAUUAGUGACGCGCAUGAAUGGAUUAACGAGAUUCCCAAUCGGCUUACACUCAAAAAUACUUUUGGCGAUUGCCCGAUUCAUUUAUUUCUCGAUCGGCUUUAAGUCUGCAAUGCUCACGCGGGUGCAGACGGGGAACUUUUAUUUUCCUUUGAUUUACAAUCCCCACCCCAAAUCUGUCCCUAUCUACUAUCUAGCGAAACCACAGCCAAGGGAACGGGCUUGGAAAAAUCAGCGGGGAAAGAAGACCCUGUUGAGCUUGACUCUAGUCUGACUCUGUGAAGAGAUAUGAGAGGUGUAGCAUAAGUGGGAGGCCGUGAACCCUCGCGGUUGUGUCGUGCCGGCAGUGAAAUACCACUACUUUCAUCGUUUCUUUACUUACUCGGUGAAGCGGAAAGCGGACCAUGAGUGUCCACGCUUCUAGCACUAAGUGCAAGGCCCUUCGUUGGCCCGCACGAUCUGUUCCAAGGACAGUGUCAGGCGGGGAGUUUGACUGGGGCGGUACAUCUGUCAAAUGGUAAUGCAGGUGUCCUAAGGCGAGCUCAGCGAGGACAGAAACCUCGCGUAGAGCAAA